rnacentral:rRNA from 1 species
GAUGAACGCUGGCGGCGUGCCUAAUACAUGCGAGUCGAGCGAACAGACGAGGAGCUUGCUCCUCUGACGUUAGCGGCGGACGGGUGAGUAACACGUGGAUAACCUACCUAUAAGACUGGGAUAACUUCGGGAAACCGGAGCUAAUACCGGAUAAUAUAUUGAACCGCAUGGUUCAAUAGUGAAAGACGGUUUUGCUGUCACUUAUAGAUGGAUCCGCGCCGCAUUAGCUAGUUGGUAAGGUAACGGCUUACCAAGGCAACGAUGCGUAGCCGACCUGAGAGGGUGAUCGGCCACACUGGAACUGAGACACGGUCCAGACUCCUACGGGAGGCAGCAGUAGGGAAUCUUCCGCAAUGGGCGAAAGCCUGACGGAGCAACGCCGCGUGAGUGAUGAAGGUCUUCGGAGCGUAAAACUCUGUUAUUAGGGAAGAACAAAUGUGUAAGUAACUAUGCACGUCUUGACGGUACCUAAUCAGAAAGCCACGGCUAACUACGUG